UGGCGUAUACCACGCUCUGUUGAGGGUAGUAGGUGAGACGCCGAGAGUACCAGGUACCUGGAUGUGGUGGCCAGUUGUGGUGAACGUUUUCUACAGAGUGUGUGUGCGUGACGCAACUAGCAGUGGAUAUACUUCAUAUUGCCUCGUGUUAAUUCGGAGUGAAGUGAAUACGACUGGGACUCGUUUGUUUUAGUGCACCAAUGAACUGUAACAUUAAAGGUAUUUAAACAGCGAUUAAAAGAGGGCUGGAGUGAAUGUAGAGCGUCAGCCGCUGUUCUUUUCUGCCAGUUUUCUUUGUUUUAUGUGUGUUUUCUUUUGUAUUUUGUAAUUUUUAUACGUAGGUAACCACAUUUUUAAUGUGGUUCUUUUAAAAAUUGUACUAGUGUAAAGCCACUUCCAGAGGAGUAAGCGGCUCCAGUAAUAGUCUUACCCCAGCCAGACUAGUUUUAAAGUGUGUGGGAAUUGUUCACUAUAAUUACAUUGAAUGUCCAAUUGUGUAGUGGUCUUGCAGUGUUGGACUUAAAGGUUGAAGUGUAAUGUAAUACUUUGUGAUUGGAGUGUAUUUUGGGUACUCGAUAUGGUUAGUAAUAGUAUAGUACACAUUAAUAGUUCUGGCUAGAGGUGGACUACUGGGGUUGCUUUUAUACACUAAAUUAUUAAUACUAAUCCAAGUGGCGAUCUUAUUGUUUUUAGUACGCUUUGCUACUUAGUGUUAUAAUAAAGAACGUCAUAUUGA